CAAUAGCGUAUAUUAAAGUUGUUGCGGUUAAAAAGCUCGUAGUUGGAUUUCUGCCGAGGACGACCGGUCCGCCCUCUGGGUGUGUAUCUGGUUUGGCCUGGGCAUCUUCUUGGAGAACGUAGCUGCACUUGACUGUGUGGUGCGGUGUCCAGGACUUUUACUUUGAGGAAAUUAGAGUGUUUCAAGCAGGCACACGCCUUGAAUACAUUAGCAUGGAAUAAUAAGAUAGGACCUCGGUUCUAUUUUGUUGGUUUCUAGAGCUGAGGUAAUGAUUAAUAGGGAUAGUUGGGGGCAUUCGUAUUUAACUGUCAGAGGUGAAAUUCUUGGAUUUGUUAAUGACGGACUACUGCGAAAGCAUUUGCCAAGGAUGUUUUCAUUGA
rnacentral:rRNA from 1 species